UACGGGGGGAGCAAGCGUUGUUCGGAUUUACUGGGCGUAAAGGGCGCGUAGGCGGCCAGCACAAGUCAGUUGUGAAAUCUCCGAGCUUAACUCGGAAAGGUCAACUGACACUGUGCGGCUAGAGUGCAGAAGGGGCAACUGGAAUUCUUGGUGUAGCGGUGAAAUGCGUAGAUAUCAGGAGGAACACCAAUGGCGAAGGCAGAUCUCUGGGCCGUAACUGACGCUGAGGAGCGAAAGCAUGGGGAGCGAACAGG
rnacentral:rRNA from 1 species